GAUGAACGCUGGCGGCGUGCCUAAUACAUGCAAGUCGAGCGAACAGACGAGGAGCUUGCUCCUCUGACGUUAGCGGCGGACGGGUGAGUAACACGUGGAUAACCUACCUAUAAGACUGGGAUAACUUCGGGAAACCGGAGCUAAUACCGGAUAACAUGUUGAACCGCAUGGUUCAACAGUGAAAGACGGUUUUGCUGUCACUUAUAGAUGGAUCCGCGUCGCAUUAGCUAGUUGGUAAGGUAACGGCUUACCAAGGCAACGAUGCGUAGCCGACCUGAGAGGGUGAUCGGCCACACUGGAACUGAGACACGGUCCAGACUCCUACGGAAGGCAGCAGUAGGGAAUCUUCCGCAAUGGGCGAAAGCCUGACGGAGCAACGCCGCGUGAGUGAAGAAGGUCUUCGGAUCGUAAAACUCUGUUAUUAGGGAAGAACAAAUGUGUAAGUAACUAUGCACGUCUUGACGGUACCUAAUCAGAAAGCCACGGCUAACUACGUG
rnacentral:rRNA from 1 species